UUUAGACCGUCGUGAGACAGG
rnacentral:misc_RNA from 1 species